rnacentral:rRNA from 1 species
GACGGAGGGUGCAAGCGUUGUUCGGAAUUACUGGGCGUAAAGCGCGGGCAGGUGGCCUUUUAAGUCCUUUGUGAAAUUCCGGAGCUCAACUCCGGAUGUGCAUAGGAUACUGGAAGGCUAGAGACUGGUAGAGGCGAGCGGAAUUCCUGGUGUAGCGGUGGAAUGCGUAGAUAUCAGGAAGAACACCGGUGGCGAAGGCGGCUCGCUGGCCCGUAACUGACGCUCAUGCACGACAGCGUGGGGAUCAAACAGG